UUGCCGAUCCGCACACAUUGGAAUUUCGCUAACUCCUCCUAAAUCUUUUGUCCCAUCGGCUUCAAAUUUGCUCAGGUCAAUCUACACCCCAUGGCCAUUCAAAGUUGUACAAAUCAUGACGCUGCACCCCACAGUUUACGUUCUAGGGGGCGCCAAAGAGGACCCAAAUAUCCACAUUUUUAAAAGUCUUAUAACUUUUUAUUUUUGUCCUCACUGGCCUCCAAGUUUUCUAGGAUGAUGCAAUGUCCAGCCAUCAACACAUUUGUGAAGGAAUUUUUCUCCCCAAAAGAGCGCCCCCCAUGGCAGGAGAAAAAGUCAAGUUUUUCCUGCCCAUCGCUCAAUGGCUCAAACGCAUCGCUCUCUCUGCAAAACCGAAAGGAGGAGCAACUUGCCAUUUGGAUAUAUACUAGCUGUGUUUGUGCCCUCACUCAUGGUCCAGACUUUUUUCAAAUAGGACAUGUAGUUUGUCUGCAGCGAGCGUUUUGGUAGAAACUGCGCCUCCCAUUCAUUAUAAUGGGAAAUGACCACAGACAAGUGCGCACACCAUCUUUGGACCUCGAGUGUGACGCGAUCGGGAGGGGGAGGCGGUCGCGCUGGGGGCGGCGCGACGCGGCUCGGGCCCGACAGUGCCCCACCGGGGCCCUAGUUAGGGCCCGAGCGUAGCUGCUAAGCAGCUGCGAGAGCCCUAUUAUUCCUGAUGGAUUCUUCUUUCUUCUUCUUCUUCUUAUUAUUUUUCUGCCCCUUUGAACUGGAAAAUGGCCCACUUCCCACUGGUGAAAAGUCAUGAAAUUUGGCAAGACGACCGGGCCUGGUGAAAAAUUUGAUAUUCUGAAGUCGCCCAAAAAAUCAAAUGCAAAAUGGCUCCAUAGCGCCCCCUAAGGUGAAAAAUUCACAUGAUUGAGUGUCACGCCUGUACGCUUUGUCAAAAUGACACAAAAUUUGACACACACGUGUAUCUCAAUAAGAUCUACAAAAAAGUCAGUGCGGGCGUAUCUGUCAAAUGUACGGUUAAAGGUUUAUUUCGCAUUUUUUGCCGAUCCGCACACAUUUGAAUUUCGCUAACUCCUCCGAAGGUUUUCGUUCCACCGGCACCACAUUUGCUCAGGCCAAUCUACACCCCAUGGCCAAUAAAAGUUGUACAAAUCAUGACGCUGCACCCCACGGUUUACGUUCUAGGGGGCGCCAAAGAUAACCCAAAAAUCCACAGUCUUAAAAGUCUUAUAACUUUUUAUUUUUGUCCUCACUGGCCUCCAAGUUCUCUAGGAUGAUGCAAUGUCCAGCCAUCAACACAUUUGUGAAGGAAUUUUUACUCGCCAAAAGAGCGCCCCCCCAUGGCAGGAGAAAAAUGUCCAUUUUUUCUUGUCUCCUAAGGCGAAAAUACACAUUGUUGACUGUCACGCCUUUACGCUUUGUCAAAAUGACACAAAAUUUGACACACACAUGUAUCUCAAUAAGAUCUACAAAAAAGUCAGUGCGGGCAUAUCUGUCAAAUGUACGGUUAAAGGGUUAUUUCGCAUUUUUUGCCGAUCCGCACACAUUGGAAUUUCGCUAACUCCUCCGAAGGCUUUCAUUCCAACGGCACCACAUUUGCUCAGGCCAAUCUACACCCCAUGGCCAUUAAAAGUUGUACAAAUCAUGACGCUGCACCCCACGGUUUACGUUCUAGGGGGCGCCAAAGAUAACCCAAAAAUCCACAGUCUUAAAAGUCUUAUAACUUUUUAUUUUUGUCCUCACUGGCCUCCAAGUUCUCUAGGAUGAUGCAAUGUCCAGCCAUCAACACAUUUGUGAAGGAAUUUUUACUCGCCAAAAGAGCGCCCCCCAUGGCAGGAGAAAAAAGUCCAUUUUUUCUUGUCUCCUAAGGCGAAAAUACACAUUGUUGACUGUCACGCCUUUACGCUUUGUCAAAAUGACACAAAAUUUGACACACACAUGUAUCUCAAUAAGAUCUACGAAAAAGUCAAUGCGAGCGUAUCUGUUCAAUGUACGGUUAAAGGGCUAUUUCGCAUUUUUUGCCGAUUCGCACACAUUGGAAUGUGGCUAACUCCUCCUAAAGCUUUUGUCCCAUCGGCUUCAAAUUUGCUCAGGUCAAUCUACACCCCAUGGCCAUUCAAAGUUGUACAAAUCAUGAUGCUGCACCCCACGGUUUACGUUCUAGGGGGUGCCAAAGAGGACCCAAAUAUCCACAUUUUUAAAAGUCUUAUAACUUUUUAUUUUUGUCCUCACUGGCCUCCAAGUUUUCUAGGAUGAUGCAAUGUCCAGCCAUCAACACAUUUGUGAAGGAAUUUUUUCUCCCCAAAAGAGCGCCCCCCAUGGCAGGAGAAAAAGUCAAGUUUUUCCUGCCCAUCGCUCAAUGGCUCAAACGCAUCGCUCUCUCGGCAAAACCGAAAGGAGGAGCAACUUGCCAUUUGGAUAUAUCCUAGCUGUGUUUAUGCCCUCACUCAUGGUCCAGACUUUUUUCAAAAAGGACAUGGAGUUUGUCUGCAGCGAGCAUUUUGGUAGAAACUGCGCCUCCCAUUCAUUAUAAUGGUAAAUGACCACAGACGAGUGCGCACACCAUCUUUGGACCUUGAGUGUGACGCGAUCAAGAGGGGUAGGCGGUCGCGCUGGGGGCGGCGCGACACGGCUCGGGCCCGCCAGUGCCCCAACGGGGCCCUAGUUUCUUCUUCUUCUUCUUAUUUUUCUGCCACUUUGAACUGGAAAAUGGCCCACUUCCCACUGGUGAAAACUCAUGAAAUUUGGCAGGACGACCGGGCCUGGUGAAAAAUUCGAUAUUCUGAAGUCGCCCAAACAAUCAAAUGCAAAAUGGCUCCAUAGCGCCCCCUAAUGUGAAAAAUUCACAUGAUUGAGUGUCAAGCCUGUACGCUUUGUCAAAAUGACACAAAAUUUGACAUACACGUGUAUCUCAAUAAGAUCUACAAAAAAGUCAGCGCGGGCGUAUCUGUCAAAUGUACGGUUAAAGGGCUAUUCCGCAUUUUUUGCCGAUCCGCACACAUUGGAAUUUCGCUAACUCCUCCGAAGGCUUUCGUUCCACCGGCACCAAAUUUGCUCAGGCCAAUCUACACCCCAUGGCCAUUAAAAAUUGUACAAAUCAUGACGCUGCACCCCACGAUUUACGUUCUAGGGGGCGCCAAAGAUAACCCGAAAAUCCACAUUCUUAAAAGUCUUAUAACUUGUUAUUUUUGUUCUCACUGGCCUCCAAGUUUUCUAGGAUGAUGCAAUGUCCAGCCAUCAACACAUUUGUGAAGGAAUUUUUACUCCCCAAAAGAUCCCCCCCCCCCCAUGGCAGGAGAAAAAAGUCCAUUUUUUCUUGUCCCCUAAGGUGAAAAUACAUAUUGUUGAGUGUCACGCCUAUACGCUUUGUCAUAUUGACACACAAUUUGACACACACGUGUAUCUCAAUAAGAUCUACAAAAAAGUCAGUGCGGGAGUAUCUGUCAAAUGUACGGUUAAAGGGCUAUUUCGCAUUUUUUGCCGAUCCGCACACAUUGGAAUUUCGCUAACUCCUCCGAAGGCUUUCGUUCCAACGGCACCACAUUUGCUCAGGCCAAUCUACACCCCAUGGCCAUUAAAAAUUGUACAAAUCAUGACGCUGCACCCCACGGUUUAGGUUCUAGGGGGCGCCAAAGAUAACCCAAAAAUCCACAUUCUUAAAAGUCUUAUAACUUUUUAUUUUUGUCCUCACUGGCCUCGAAGUUUUCUAGGAUGAUGCAAUGUCUAGCCAUCAACACAUUUGUGAAGGAAUUUUUACUCCCUAAAAGAGCUCCCCCCCAUUGCAGGAGAAAAAAGUCCAUUUUUUCUUGUCCCCUAAGGUGAAAAUACAUAUUGUUGAGUGUCACGCCUAUACGCUUUGUCAUAUUGACACAAAAUUUGACACACACGUGUAUCUCAAUAAGAUCUACAAAAAAGUCAGUGCGGGAGUAUCUGUCAAAUGUACGGUUAA